rnacentral:rRNA from 1 species
AGUGAACGCUGGCGGUAGGCCUAACACAUGCAAGUCGAACGGCAGCACAGUAAGAGCUUGCUCUUACGGGUGGCGAGUGGCGGAGGGGUGAGGAAUACAUCGGAAUCUACUUUUUCGUGGGGGAUAACGUAGGGAAACUUACGCUAAUACCGCAUACGACCUACGGGUGAAAGCAGGGGAUCUUCGGACCUUGCGCGAUUGAAUGAGCCGAUGUCGGAUUAGCUAGUUGGCGGGGUAAAGGCCCACCAAGGCGACGAUCCGUAGCUGGUCUGAGAGGAUGAUCAGCCACACUGGAACUGAGACACGGUCCAGACUCCUACGGGAGGCAGCAGUGGGGAAUAUUGGACAAUGGGCGAAAGCCUGAUCCAGCCAUACCGCGUGGGUGAAGAAGGCCUUCGGGUUGUAAAGCCCUUUUGUUGGGAAAGAAAAGCAGCAGGUUAAUACCCCGCUGUUCUGACGGUACCCAAAGAAUAAGCACCGGCUAACUUCGUG